GUGCCAGCAGCCGCGGUAAAACGUAGGGGGCGAGCGUUACCCGGAUUUACUGGGCGUAAAGUGCGUUGAGGCGGUCCCGUAAGUUGGGCGUGAAAGCCCCGGGCUCAACCCGGGGAGGCCGUUCAAUACUGCGGGACUUGAGGGCGGGAGAGGGAGGUGGAAUUCCCGGUGUAGUGGUGAAAUGCGUAGAUAUCGGGAGGAACACCAUUGGCGAAGGCGGCCUCCUGGCCCGCUCCUGACGCUGAAGGCGAAAGCCAGGGGAGCGAACGGGAUUAGAUACCCCGGUAGUCCUGGCUGUAAACGAUGGACGCUAGGUGUGGGGGGGGAUAAACUCCCUCCGUGCCGAAGCUAACGCGUUAAGCGUCCCGCCUGGGGACUACGGCCGCAAGGCUAAAACUCAAAUGAAUUGGCGGGG
rnacentral:rRNA from 1 species